GCCUCAGUAACGGCGAGUGAAGCGGCAACAGCUCAAAUUUGAAAUCUGGCUCCCCUGCGGGGGCCCGAGUUGUAAUUUGGAGAGGAUGUUUCUGGCGCGGCGCCUUCCGGAGUUCCUUGGAACAGGACGCCACAGAGGGUGAGAGCCCCGUACGGUCGGCCGCCAAACCUUCAAGAAACUCCUUCGACGAGUCGAGUAGUUUGGGAAUGCUGCUCAAAAUGGGAGGUAAAUUUCUUCUAAAGCUAAAUACCGGCCAGAGACCGAUAGCGCACAAGUAGAGUGAUCGAAAGAUGAAAAGCACCUUGAAAAGAGGGUUAAACAGUACGUGAAAUUGUUGAAAGGGAAGCGCCUGCGACCAGACUCGCGCCCCGCGGACCAGCCGGCGUUCUCGCCGGUGCACUCCGCGGGGUGCGGGCCAGCAUCGGUUUUCCCUGGGGGAGAAAGGCCGCGGGAACGUAGCUCUUUCGGGAGUGUUAUAGCCCGUGGCGCCAUGCCCCAGGGGGGACCGAGGACCGCGCUUCGGCAAGGAUGCUGGCGUAAUGGUCGUCGG
rnacentral:rRNA from 1 species